rnacentral:rRNA from 1 species
GACGAACGCUGGCGGCGUGCUUAACACAUGCAAGUCGAACGAAGAGCGAUGGAGGCUUGCUUCUAUCAAUCUUAGUGGCGAACGGGUGAGUAACGCGUAAUCAACCUGCCCUUCAGAGGGGGACAACAGUUGGAAACGACUGCUAAUACCGCAUACGAUCUAAUCUCGGCAUCGAGGAUAGAUGAAAGGUGGCCUCUACAUGUAAGCUAUCACUGAAGGAGGGGAUUGCGUCUGAUUAGCUAGUUGGAGGGGUAACGGCCCACCAAGGCGAUGAUCAGUAGCCGGUCUGAGAGGAUGAACGGCCACAUUGGGACUGAGACACGGCCCAGACUCCUACGGGAGGCAGCAGUGGGGAAUCUUCCGCAAUGGACGAAAGUCUGACGGAGCAACGCCGCGUGAGUGAUGACGGCCUUCGGGUUGUAAAGCUCGGUUAAUCGGGACGAAAGGCCUUCUUGCGAAUAGUGAGAAGGAUUGACGGUACCGGAAUAGAAAGCCACGGCUAACUACGUG